AUUGAACGCUGGCGGCAGGCUUAACACAUGCAAGUCGAGCGAGCGGCGGACGGGUUAGUAAUGUCUCGGAAACUUCCUGGUGGAUGGGGAUAACUACUGGAAACGGUUGCUACUACCGCAUACCAUCAGAUGUGCCCAGAUGGGAUUAGCUAGUAGGUGGGGUAAUGGCUCACCUAGGCGACGAUCCCUAGCUGGUCUGAGAGGAUGACAAGACACACGGGAAAUGAGACACGGUCCAGACUCCUACGGGAGGCAGCAGUGGGGAAUAUUGCACAAUGGGCGAAAGCCUGAUGCAGCCAUGCCGCGUGUGUGAAGAAGGCCUUCGGGUUGUAAAGCACUUUAAGCGAGGAGGCGUUACUAGCAGAAGAAGCACCGGCUAACUCCGUGCCAGCAGCCGCGGUAAUAC
rnacentral:rRNA from 1 species